rnacentral:misc_RNA from 1 species
GAAGUGCGAUAAGUAAUGUGAAUUGCAGAAUUCGUGAGUCAUUGAAUCCUUGAACGCAAGUGGCGCUUGAGAGAUUAAAAUCUCAAGCACAUCUGUUUCAGCGUCGUUUUUUCACUCUCAAAUAAAUCGCCUUCCUUUUUUAUAUGAAGGAGGCAGGAUUUUUGUGGAUGUUGAAGGUUGGCUUGUCUUUUCUUAAGGACAGCUUCAUCCUUUGAAAUACAUUCAUUGAAGAAAGAGUCCUCUUCCGAUUGAAAGACACUAUUUAAGUUGGGAUGUCUUAACAUCACACGUAAAUAGUCAUUUCAAUUGAAAGAGUGAUUUGUUUUCUCACAAACAAGGAACGGUUGACGUAUUCAAAGCGACCUGAAAUCAGGUGAGAUCACCCGCUGAACUUAA